UCACUUAGUGCCAACCUAAGCCAAGCAUUUUUGAGUUUCUUAAGCUACACUCAUAUUUGUUGUUAUUUUCCGACAGUGUUUGUUGAUCUUAUGGUACCCUUCAACUUAUAGUUUUCUAGAUGUGGUCACUACUGUUAGUACAUAAAUCAUCAUAAUGAAAAUCCCUAGGAUGGUUCUCUUGUAGCUUUUACCUUUGAUGGUGCAAUGAUUGAUUUGAUGAUGUGCAAGCUUCAGCCCUUCACCAGGCCAUAUAAUUCAACCUUCCUUCUGAGGUGCUUGCAUCUCCAAUGUUAUCAACCUGCCCUUGGUGCCAAGAAAGAAAGUAAAAAAUAAUUGUUGUAUAGGUUUCUAUCCUACUCAACCCAGGACUAGUUUCGUUGGCUAAGGAGAGAAAAUGAAAAGAAAGAAAAUAGAGGGAGACGAAUAUGAAUUUUUUUUUAAUUUGGUUGAGUAGAAUAGUGAGUAAAGCAAAAUGUUAUUGUAAGGUAUCUAUAUAUAUGGAAGAAAAAUAAAAUACAAGGAUAGAAUUGUGAUUAUAAAUAUAUGCAUUUUCUCCCCACAUGACGACAAAAAUAAAGCCUUAUCUCACAAGGUGGGGCCGGUUACAUAGAUCAAACAACGUCAUUGCAUCUUAUUAUGUAUUAUGUCUACAGUGAGAUAGUUCACACAAAGAUUUCGCUUGACCACUUCAUCCAUCGAAACAUCCUUAUUUCGGCCAUGUUGGACUAUGUUCAUGUUCACCCUUUGCUGCCCAACACUAUGCCACAUACAACAUGGCUGUUCUAGUGGCAAUAUGAUAAAGUUUACCUUUAGUUUUAAAGGUACUUAUUUAUUGCUUAUAAAAUCCAAAACACACCUCCAUUUUCACCAACAUGCUUGAAUCUUAUGGUUUACGCCAUCUUCUAUUUCUCCAUUGUCCUUAAUAAUACAAAUAAGAUACCUAAAUAUCUUUAGUUGUGGUAAAACAUUUUCUCCAAUUUUUUAUCUUCUGUGUUAGUCUUUCUCCUUUCAUUGCUAAACGUUCAUUCCAUCUACUCUGUCUUGAUGCAACUUAUUUGCAACCAUGUACUUCCAAAGCUUAUCUCCACAAAUACAACUUCUCAUUCAAAUCUUCCUGUGAUUUUCAUAAGGACUAUGUUAUGGGGGAAAGGCAUGCAUCAUACAACCUUCCCGUUCUUCUCAAAACCUUGCCUUGUGGUGUUCUUCCAAACUGACUUAUGGUGCACUAGCAUUAACCACAUGUAAGGCCUCCCCAUCUACAACCAAUUUUAAAGCGAUGAUUCGGUCACUCACCUUUUUAACAUCUACCAUGUCCUCCUUCCAUUGCUUAUUAACAACAAUGCCUACCCCAUUUCUAUUCUUCACCUUUUAUGUAUACCAAAACUUAAAACCUGAGGUGUCCAACUCCUUGGCCUUUGCUCCCACUCACUUUGUUUCUUGCAAGCACAUAAUGUUAAUCUUUCUUCUUAUCAUGGUAUCCACCACCUCUACGGAUUUUUCUGUAAGUGUGCCUAUAUUCCAUGUACUAAAGCGCGGCUUACCUUUUUCUUUGUAAAAUAGGUUAUUUACCCUCGUCCGUUCAUGAAGAUGUAGGAACCCUUGCUCAUUUGCACUACAUGCUGGCACCGAUGUGGCUGGCCCCUGUUCAUUUGACAUUUUACUCGAGCCAUACAGCGUCGCUUCCGAGCUUGGGACCUACUCUGUAGCAUAGGUAGAGGUAUUUUCUCCCCACACGAAAGAAGAAAAUAUUUUGACAAGGUCCACCUAAAAUUUUCCUCUCCCCUUUUCUCUUCUAUCAUUUCCGACUUUGAAAGAUUUGAACCCUGAUCAUUCUAACUUUGGAAUAUAUAAACCAACUCGAUAGUCGAUCCCCAUAAAAGAUGGAGUUAGUUUGGCAGAACUAAAAAUGGGUAGUUUGUUGGA